rnacentral:rRNA from 1 species
UGGCGAACGGGUGAGUAACACGUGGGUGAUCUGCCCUGCACUUCGGGAUAAGCCUGGGAAACUGGGUCUAAUACCGGAUAGGACCACAUUUUGGAUGGUGUGGUGGAAAGUUUUUCGGUGUGGGAUGAGCUCGCGGCCUAUCAGCUUGUUGGUGGGGUAAUGGCCUACCAAGGCGUCGACGGGUAGCCGGCCUGAGAGGGUGGACGGCCACAUUGGGACUGAGAUACGGCCCAG